GCCGCUGUAGCUCAGUUGGUAGAGCACGUCAUUCGUAAUGAUGGGGUCGCAGGUUCAAGUCCUGUCAGCGGCACCA
rnacentral:tRNA from 1 species